rnacentral:rRNA from 1 species
GAUGAACGCUGGCGGCGUGCCUAAUACAUGCAAGUCGAGCGAAUGGAUUAAGAGCUUGCUCUUAUGAAGUUAGCGGCGGACGGGUGAGUAACACGUGGGUAACCUGCCCAUAAGACUGGGAUAACUCCGGGAAACCGGGGCUAAUACCGGAUAACAUUUUGAACCGCAUGGUUCGAAAUUGAAAGACGGCUUCGGUUGUCACUUAUGGAUGGACCCGCGUCGCAUUAGCUAGUUGGUGAGGUAACGGCUCACCAAGGCAACGAUGCGUAGCCGACCUGAGAGGGUGAUCGGCCACACUGGGACUGAGACACGGCCCAGACUCCUACGGGAGGCAGCAGUAGAGAAUCUUCCGCAAUGGACGAAAGUCUGACGGAGCAACGCCGCGUGAGUGACGAAGGCUUUCGGGUCGUAAAACUCUGUUGUUAGGGAAGAACAAGUGCUAGUUGAAUAAGCUGGCACCUUGACGGUACCUAACCAGAAAGCCACGGCUAACUACGUGCCAGCCGCCGCGGUAA